AUCGUGAACAUCACCAGGUUCUCUGUGGUGGUUCUGGGGCUGAUUCCUCUGCUCCUUGUCUGUCUCUGGAUGAGGAAGAAGAAGACUGUGAGCUCCACCUCUGAAGCGAAUGAACCCAUAGAGACUGUGGAGUUGGAGUCUGGUCCUGAUUAUAUCAACGUCUCAGACCUGAACAUGGUCUCUGCAGAACAGACAGAAGAACCAGAGGAUCAGGAGGACCUGGUCUGAAGAGGGAGACUGACCUGGAUGGAAACAGAAGGAAGUGAAGCAUUGAAGAGGAAACAUUUACCUUCAAAUAUGAGAGUUUCAUUGUUAGUGGCAGGUAGGAGUCAGCAGUCACAGACAGCAGGAGAUGUACAGGCAUGAGUAGAUUGCAACUUGUUAUACUGUAAAUAUAAACACAAUUAACCACAGUAAUGUGCAUGUGCUAACCACCAUCAUCCUGAAUGCCUAUCAUAUUUAUAGCAUUCCUUCAUUGUGUAUACAUGUUAUAGUCAAAAGGUUAUAAUAGUAGUAAAGUUGGGAAAAUAUAAAAUAAUGAAGACAAAAAAAGGAGAAGAAAUUAGAUUAUGUUUUUAUAAAGAAGGUGUAUACGUAUAUUUAAAUAUACGUAUACACAUAUACGCAUACAUCUGUACAAACCUACACACACACAAACACGGCCAAUAUUUAAUCAAUAUUUUCAAAUACUAUCUUUCUUGAUUCGUCUUUUUUUA